UACAGAGGUCUCGAGCGUUGUUCGGAUUCAUUGGGCGUAAAGGGUGUGUAGGCGGUUGUUUAAGUUUGGUGUGAAAUCUCCCGGCUCAACUGGGAGGGUGCGCCGAAUACUGAAUGACUUGGAGUGUGGGAGAGGUGAGUGGAAUUCCUGGUGUAGCGGUGAAAUGCGUAGAUAUCAGGAGGAACACCGGUGGUGUAGACGGCUCACUGGACCAUAACUGACGCUGAGACACGAAAGCGUGGGUAGCAAACAGG
rnacentral:rRNA from 1 species